rnacentral:rRNA from 1 species
UACAGAGGUCUCAAGCGUUGUUCGGAUUCAUUGGGCGUAAAGGGUGCGUAGGUGGCGCCGUAAGUCGGGUGUGAAAUUUCGGAGCUUAACUCCGAAACUGCAUUCGAUACUGCGGUGCUUGAGGACUGGAGAGGAGACUGGAAUUCAUGGUGUAGCAGUGAAAUGCGUAGAGAUCAUGAGGAAGACCAGUGGCGAAGGCGGGUCUCUGGACAGUUCCUGACACUGGGACACGAAGGCCAGGGGAGCAAACGGG